UACGUAGGGUGCGAGCGUUCAUCGGAAUUACUGGGCGUAAAGCGUGCGCAGGCGGUUCUGUAAGUCAGAUGUGAAAUCCCCGGGCUCAACCUGGGAACUGCGUUUGAAACUACAGGGCUAGAGUAUGGGAGAGGGAGGUAGAAUUCCACGUGUAGCAGUGAAAUGCGUAGAGAUGUGGAGGAAUACCAAUGGCGAAGGCAGCCUCCUGGCCUAAUACUGACGCUCAUGCACGAAAGCGUGGGGAGCAAACAGG
rnacentral:rRNA from 1 species